UUAGGCCUUAUUCGAAGCAAACAAAUUUUUGUAAAUUUGUUAGUCAAAAUAAGGCCAAGAUUAAGUUGGCCUCAAACGGUCGCGGUCUAGAUUGUAUAUCUAGAACGUAUUACCAACGGGGCAUACAAUA